CUUCGCUGACUCUCUUUUCGGACUCAGCCCGCCUGCACCCAGGUGAAAUAAACAGCCUUGUUGCUCACACAAAGCCUGUUUGGUGGUCUCAUCUCACGGACGUGCAUGAAAGAAGGGAAUGGAAGGCUUCUACCAAGUCCCUACAUGAUCAGGAACAAGAUAAUACAGGGAUGAAGAAGCCAGACAUCUGAUCCCAAAGAGCCAACAGAAAGGAAUGGAGAGAGAAAUGGUCAUCCCCUCAAAGGAAGGACAAGUUUGGAAUUCUGUGGUUAUUUCUGCCUGGUUGGGACUGAAUGAUGUGAGCUGAUGGUCACCAAGGAAAUCUUUACAGGGAGGUAAUGAAUUGGGAAAUAAGACAAGAACUAAGGCAGACAAGAAAUCUAAGUAUCACCUACAUAAUCGAUAGAGAUUGAUUGUUCACAUCACUUGUGAUCUCAAGCGAUCUCUAUGGAAUCAGUUGCAUUAUCUGCCACAAAUCAUCAUGUCAGCAGGGUUUUCAUUCUCAGUCAAAAUUACAGACUUCUUACCUAUUUGUGGGGAAAGUGAACACAGGAGUGUGCUGAUGAGUUUCAAAGCUGAACACAUUGAUUCAUUUCCAGGGAAGAAAAAGCAGCUACCUGGUGAUUACCACAGAGGGGAUUUCGAUCAGCAUGGUGAGAGGAGUGAUUGCAUUUCCUCCGCAUCCACUCAGUCUUCCCUUUGGCUUUUGAGAUAUGCAGAGGACUGAAAGGGCACAUGGGAGCACACACUUCCCAGUUGUUUUGUGGAGACAUGUGACGAAUUCUGGCCAAUAAGCUGUGAGUAGAAGUAAUGUGUCAUUUUCAGAUUCUCAUACUGAGGCAAUGAGAAGCCCCUGCAUAACUGUGGGGGCCAUGUGUGGAAAUGGUGAAGACACAUGUAUCAGAGGCUGUGAUGUACCACCUAGACUGCCACUUUGGAAGGAUCACUCACUUCUCAGCUAAGUUGCUAACUGGCUGCAGGCUAUAGACAGCUGAAUACCUCUUUGGGAAUUGCACUAGCUAAAGCGAGUUUCCAGGUCCAAGGUUACACUGUCCGUAUAAGACAUGCUGUAUUCAAGGUACAAUCCUCUUGCUUCAACAGAGAUAACUGAAGAAAGAAUGUCAAGACUCCUUGGGGCAACUGCAUUUAAAAUCAAUAUUUCCCCCUGCCUAAUUCUGCUUCUCUCCCUCCCUUACGGAUGUUGUUCCCAAGGGCACCCCCCACCAGCCCUUUUGUAUGUGUAUAUCUACCUCAGUCUGUUUUCCAGGGAACCAUAACAAAGAUUAAAAAUUUACAGAAGAAUUUUUAAUCUUUGUUCUGGUUCCCUAGGGAAUUGAACAAUGAGAACACUUGGACACAGGAAGGGGA
rnacentral:lncRNA from 1 species